GCAAACUUGGUCAUUUAGAGGAAGUAAAAGUCGUAACAAGGUCUCCGUUGGUGAACCAGCGGAGGGAUCAUUAGCGAGUAAAGAAAACUCCAAACCCAUGUGAACAUACCUACAGUUGCCUCGGCAGGCCGUGCCGCGCGGCGGGUGCACACGCCCCGCGGUACGCUAAAAGGCCUGCCGGAGGACCCCUAAACUCUGUUUUAUACCGAAUCUCUGAGUGUCAUUAUAUAAAUACGUUAAAACUUUCAACAACGGAUCUCUUGGCUCUGGCAUCGAUGAAGAACGCAGC
rnacentral:misc_RNA from 1 species